GGCUCUUCUUCUUCUGCAGCUUCUUCACCUCCCCCUUCUUCUUCUUCACGGUGCCCUCGAUCGCUUGCGCGUCGGCGUAGGUGGGGGAGGUCAAGAACGGCCAAUCCUCGAUCUGGGCAUCGAAGUCCGACGCCGAGUCGCACGGGAAGGCCUCGUUCUGCAGGGUUUCUUGGCCAAUUGGCUUGACCGAAGAAAACCCAGAUCUAGAUUCGAAAGAAACGACUACCAUUUUCUCUCUCUACUUCUCUCUCUCUCUCUCUCUCUCUCUCGGGGGUGACUGUGCGUGAGGCGGAGAGACAGAGGCUGCUUAUAAAAAGUGGAUCCAGAGGGGGGGAAAAGGCGAGAGCGUUUUUCUUGCGAUUUUCCCACGAUUUCUUUCCGAGAAAAGGACAGAGAAAAAUCGGGCGUGG
rnacentral:lncRNA from 1 species